ACACCGAGGCCCCGCCUCCCACGUGCGGGCGCUCCUCUCCUAGAGCUCACUGGUCUUUCCAGAAGUCCUCAAGUUUCAUGCGACCAGCAGUGAACUUUACUGGGUAGGGGUGGGAAGCCGGUGGCUCCGGACAGUCGUGAUAACCCGGCACAGAAGCAGAGUCGCAUUUCGGAGCGUCCACUCGUAACGCGGCUUCUCGCACACGGAGCCCGUAGUCCAGGGGAGAGGAGGCCAGGGAGGCCCUGGAGAGGUUGUAGGUUCUUUCAUCAUUUCCUUCCCAGCAUGCACUUGUACAUGCUGUACACUCCACUCUCUUCAUUACCACAACAGGACUACAAAAUCUUUAGAGGAUGAACAGCCAAACAAGGUGACUUACCGCCUGCCAGGAGAGCUUAUUAAAGGAUUUCAUUUCUUGGGCAUCCAGGUUGGGACAUCUUCUGGAUAUAUGCCCAGGAGAGGUGUUGCUGGAUCCUCCAGUAGUACUAUGUCCAAUUUUCUGAAGAACCGCCAGACUGAUUUCCAGAGUGGUUGUACAAGCUUGCAAUCCCACCAACAAUUUAGGAGCGUUCCUCUUUCUCCACACCCUCGCCAGCAUCUACUGUCACCUGAAUUUUUGAUCUUAGCCAUUCUGAAUGGUGUGAGGUGUAAUCUCAGGGUUGUUUUGAUUUGCAUUUCCCUGAUGACUAAGGAUGUUGAACAUUUUUUCAGGUGCUUCUCUGCCAUUCAAUAUUCCUCAGGUGAGAAUUCUUUGUUCAGUUCUGAUCACCAUUUUUAGUGGGGUUAUUUGAUUUUAUGGAGUCCACCUUCUUGAGUUCUUUAUAUAUAUUGGAUAUUAGUCCCCUAUCCGAUUUGGAAUAAGUAAAGAUCCUUUCCCAA
rnacentral:lncRNA from 1 species